AACGCUUGCAAAGUUUUCGUAAAUCAUAAGGCUUAAAGGUCUGAGCGAAAUUGUCUACACCACUGCGAAAGCCGUCGUACACGCUGUUCAUUGGUCCGCUUCAUAAAAUAUGAUAUACGUUUCUCCUAUCUGAGUACUAUAGUAAUAAUAAUUCAGUCUCCGUGGCUACGCUGAUCGUGUGCCGCGUAAAUUUAUAUAAAGUUUGCGGUCCAUAUAAUAUAUUAUAGAUUAAUAAUCGUACACCGUUCCU